rnacentral:misc_RNA from 1 species
AAGUCGUAACAAGGUUUCCGUAGGUGAACCUGCGGAAGGAUCAUUAUCGAAGAUAAAUAGCAAUAUUUAACUAGAUAAGAAGUUUAAGGUAGAAGGUUUAUUUCAAAAUUUCUAUUUGGUCUACCAUUAAACUUUAAAUAGAAGAAAAGAAAUCGGUUAUCAACGGCGUUUGUACAAACAAAGUUGAAAGAAUAUAUAAAAUGUAUUUGGUCUUAGCAAUUGAAACGUCUUAAUAACUUUUAACGAUGGAUCUCUUGGCUCCCAC